CGGAGGAAAAGAAACCAACAGGGAUUGCCUUAGUAGCGGCGAGUGAAGCGGCAAAAGCUCAAAUUUGAAAUCUGGCACUUUCAGUGUCCGAGUUGUAAUUUGAAGAAGGUAUCUUUGGGUCUGGCUCUUGUCUAUGUUUCUUGGAACAGAACGUCACAGAGGGUGAGAAUCCCGUGCGAUGAGAUGUCCCAGACCUAUGUAAAGUUCCUUCGAAGAGUCGAGUUGUUUGGGAAUGCAGCUCUAAGUGGGUGGUAAAUUCCAUCUAAAGCUAAAUAUUGGCGAGAGACCGAUAGCGAACAAGUACAGUGAUGGAAAGAUGAAAAGAACUUUGAAAAGAGAGUGAAAAAGUACGUGAAAUUGUUGAAAGGGAAGGGCUUGAGAUCAGACUUGGUAUUUUGUAUGUUACUCUCUCGGGGGUGGCCUCUACAGUUUACCGGGCCAGCAUCAGUUUGAGCGGUAGGAUAAGUGCAAAGAAAUGUGGCACUGCUUCGGUAGUGUGUUAUAGUCUUUGUCGAUACUGCCAGCUUAGACUGAGGACUGCGGCUUCGGCCUAGGAUGUUGGCAUAAUGAUCUUAAGUCGCCCGUC
rnacentral:rRNA from 1 species